CAGGCCUAACACAUGCAAGUCGAGCGAGACCUUCGGGUCUAGCGGCGGACGGGUUAGUAACGCGUGGGAACGUGCCCUUCUCUACGGAACAGUCCCGGGAAACUGGGUUUAAUACCGUAUACGCCCUUCGGGGGAAAGAUUUAUCGGAGAAGGAUCGGCCCGCGUCUGAUUAGAUAGUUGGUGGGGUAACGGCCUACCAAGUCGACGAUCAGUAGCUGGUUUGAGAGGAUGAUCAGCAACACUGGGACUGAGACACGGCCCAGACUCCUACGGGAGGCAGCAGUGGGGAAUCUUAGACAAUGGGCGCAAGCCUGAUCUAGCCAUGCCGCGUGAGUGAUGAAGGCCCUAGGGUCGUAGAGCUCUUUCGCUGGGGAAGAUAAUGACGGUACCCAGUAAAGAAACCCCGGCUAACUCCGUGCCAGCAGCCGCGGUAAUACGGAGGGGGUUAGCGUUGUUCGGAAUUACUGGCGUAAAGCGCGCGUAGGCGGAUUGGAAAGUUGGGGGUGAAAUCCCGGGGCUCAACCCCGGAACUGCCUCCAAAACUAUCAGUCUAGAGGUCGAGAGAGGUGAGUGGAAUUCCGAGUGUAGAGGUGAAAUUCGUAGAUAUUCGGAGGAACACCAGUGGCGAAGGCGGCUCACUGGCUCGAUA
rnacentral:rRNA from 1 species